AAUGAACGUUGGCGGCAUGGAUUAGGCAUGCAAGUCGAGCGAGAAGCCGUUUUUUUGCUUGCAUUAAGGGUGGACAGCGGCGAAAGGGAGAGUAACGCGUAGAAAUGUACCCCAAGAUCCGGGAUAGCUGCGGGAAACUGCAGGUAAUACCGGAUAAUGUCUCCGGACCAAAGUUUUUCGUCUUGGGAGCAGUCUGCGUACUAUUAGCUUGUUGGUGGGGUAAUGGCCUACCAAGGCUCAGAUGGUUAGCGGGCGUGAGAGCGUGGCCCGUCUCACUGGGACUGAGACACUGCCCAGACGUCUACGGACGGCUGCAGUCGAGAAUCUUCCGCAAUGGACGAAAGUCUGACGGAGCGAUGCCGCGUGGUGGAUGAAGGCCCUCGGGUUGUAAACACCUGUCAGUAGGGAGGAAAUUUUGACCGAUCUACAGAGGAAGUCCGGGCUAAGUACGUG
rnacentral:rRNA from 1 species